rnacentral:lncRNA from 1 species
UAGAGUAUGAGGAGCUAUAGGUGGGCUGAAACAAGGAACGAACUAGCACCACGUUAGUUAUAAAAGCGAGCUGAAUAAGCGUUCGACGAUGGUACUGUGCUGGUCCUAGGCUAGACCGUGCUAGAGAUGCGAGCCUGGACACAAAGGAAAACCACAGCACACCCCCGAAAACAAGGUGGAACAAACCUAAAAUCAAUAUGAAAAACAGCCCCUUUUUUUGAAUCUUUUCUCUUUUCUUUUUUUUUUCUUUUUUUUCUUUUUUUUUGGGCAACCUCAAAAACUGAUUAUAUGAACAAAAGAAUACAAAAGAGCAAUUCGCUACACACACUUUUUUUUUCUCUCUCUCUCUAGAGUAAGGCCGAACAAGUAUGGAGUUAUCUUUCUUUUUAGAUCACAGAAGGACUCACAUAGAUGGAGUUCAGGCUAUAUUAACAAGCGGACUCCAAGUUCUAUUCGGUUUCCACUCAGAACCAACCACAAAACGGAUUCCACCUAUUGCCGAGUUCUACUCGGUUUCCUUCUAUUUUUUAUCACGUUGGUGGAGCUCAGAUUGGAACUCUACUCGAUCCGUACCAAGACUACAGUUCAAUUCGGACUUCACAACAAAUUCAACAGAGAGAAGAUAUGGUAAUACUCGACUGUGUAUAGAUGGUGACAAGAACUCGAAACUCUAAAGAACUACACUAAGACCAGCAACUCGACACAAACCAAAGCAACGCAAAUUCAACAAGCCCUAACUAAAACGGUACUAGCCAAGGCACAAAGGUUUAAUAGGAUUAUGGAAAAACUAAUCUACUAUAUUUUUUUUGGCUUUUCUGGACUAUAGGAAAUUAAUUAAAAACAACAAAGGAUUAGAAGUCUCUCACCGAAGAACCUUGCUCUGAUUACCAACUGAUGCGAACCCGCUAGGGUUUUUGCCCGAUCUUUUGAUGAGAGACGGGGAUAACUUGAUUGGUGGAUGGAGAUGACGUUCACGGCCUGACUAUAGCCCUCAAGACCGCGCCUUAGCAACCGAUACACCACGUCCAAUAGCCGUCACGAUCUUGUGGAGCGCGACAACCAGCCCCUAGGGCUCCCGUCCUGCAAGCAAUCGAAGAACUAGCAAGAACGAGGAAACAAGCACUAAAUUUGCAAGAUGAAUUGAAGGUUUCAAACUGAAUCUGAAUCAACAAUGGGGUUCCGAAGACAAGGAGACGGGCGGCUGAUCCUGCACGCGCGCCUACAAGCAAGUAGCGAAGGCUAAACUUGAUCUAAACAAAACCCAGUUGUUCAUGGCGGCUCUAGAUGUAAAUAAAUAGAGGGGAGGAUGACCAAAGGGGUGCUAGAGUCGUCCUCCAACCCUAGGACGCGUCCCUAAUGGACUCAACUUGAUACAUGGGCCAUUGGUCCAAAAUAGGGUGACGCAGCACCAAAACAGAAAAAGGUGUCGGCAUGAAAACAAGGACUAUGUAUCAAGCUGCAUAGAUAUGUGGUUGGACCCAUUGGAAAGUAGACUUCAUGAGCUUUCCAACAAGUAUAGGAACGUCCCAGUUGGAGUCCAUAUGACGCCGUGGUGAUCCAUACAAGUUAGAGUUAUUUUCCAGUCCGAAUCCAACUCCCAAAACGUGUUGGGUUUGGACUCUUUGUUUCCUUGCUUUAGAAACGACGUGGUAACUUGAUAGAGGAUGUUGUGGAGGCUUGGACCUGAUCUCCAAUCACCUUUGUUAAGUUAUCACUCUUCCCAUAUGCAAUCAGCCCUUGAAGUUGGUGUUGCCUCAAAUUCUGAAUGCAGUUGAACCUUCCCUUGCUGAUCUUGUCCAUUAUUCCUGAGCAACACGAAAGUGCACGUGUCUCCAUUGUCUAAAUAUGAUUGACAAGAGUUUAAAGCUGAACUUACUUGAAGGUUGAGUUGACGGGCACAAGCACGAGUAAGAGGACCAGCUAUAGGUUGUGUCGGAGAGGAUGUAGGAUAUUAUCGCUGGUGGAUCGUUGAAGUCCACNNNNNNNNNNNNNNNNNNNNNNNNNNNNNNNNNNNNNNNNNNNNNNNNNNNNNNNNNNNNNNNNNNNNNNNNNNNNNNNNNNNNNNNNNNNNNNNNNNNNNNNNNNNNNNNNNNNNNNNNNNNNNNNNNNNNNNNNNNNNNNNNNNNNNNNNNNNNNNNNNNNNNNNNNNNNNNNNNNNNNNNNNNNNNNNNNNNNNNNNNNNNNNNNNNNNNNNNNNNNNNNNNNNNNNNNNNNNNNNNNNNNNNNNNNNNNNNNNNNNNNNNNNNNNNNNNNNNNNNNNNNNNNNNNNNNNNNNNNNNNNNNNNNNNNNNNNNNNNNNNNNNNNNNNNNNNNNNNNNNNNNNNNNNNNNNNNNNNNNNNNNNNNNNNNNNNNNNNNNNNNNNNNNNNNNNNNNNNNNNNNNNNNNNNNNNNNNNNNNNNNNNNNNNNNNNNNNNNNNNNNNNNNNNNNNNNNNNNNNNNNNNNNNNNNNNNNNNNNNNNNNNNNNNNNNNNNNNNNNNNNNNNNNNNNNNNNNNNNNNNNNNNNNNNNNNNNNNNNNNNNNNNNNNNNNNNNNNNNNUUGCCGAGGCGAAGGCUCUAGCGAGAUUCCAUGUGACACACGUCAUCUAGGAGUUCCAUUGGGUGCGUCCAAAUUGAUUUCUUAACAUAUGGUAUGUUCCAUUCAAACUGUGCAACUAUCUUGCAUCAAGAUUAGCACUAUAUCCGAACAGACCAAAUCGAGCCUCCACUUGAGCCUCUUCAACUACGAGUACCAUCGUGUGCGUCUAAAAUUGUUUCUUAGCUUAUGGUGCAUUAGGCGUAAACCAUGCACAUAUCUUCUACCAAAACUAACAGUCUCUAAACAAACCGAAGCAAGAUUCCAUAUGACACACAUCAUCAAGGAGUUAUAUCAGGUGCAUCCUAAUUGAUUUCUCAGCAUUUCGUAUGUUCCAUGCAAACCGUGCAUCUAUCUUGCAUCAAGAUUAGAUUAGACUAUCUCCAAACAGACCAAACCGAGCUUUCACUUUAGCCCUUGACCUAGGAGUACCAUCGGGUGCGUCCAAAACGGUUUAUUAUCCUAUGGUGGAUUAGGUGCAAACCGUGCACCUAUCUUGCACUGAAACUAACACUGUCUCUAAACGGACCGAAGUGAGAUUCCAUACGACACAUGUCAUCUAGGAGUUCCAUCUGGUGCGUCCAAAUUGAUUUCUGAGCAUAUGGUACGUUCCAUGCAAAUCGUGCACCUAUCUUGCAUCAAGAUUAGCACUAUCUCUAAACAGACCAAACCGAACCUCCACUUGAGCCUCUUCACCUAGGAGUACCAACAGGUGCUUCCAAAAUGGUUUGUUAGACUUUGGUGCAUUAGGCGCAAACCGUGCACAUAUCUUGCGCCGAAACUAAUACUAUCUCUAAGCACACCAAAGCGAGAUUCCAUAUGACACACGUCAUCAAAGAUUUCUAUCGGGUGUGUCCAAAUUAAUUCUAAGCAUAUGGUACGUUCCAUGCAGACCAUGCAUCUAUCUUGCAUCAAGAUUAGCACUAUCUCCAAAUAGAUCGAACCGAGCAUCCACUUGAGCCCGUUCACCUAGGAGUACCAACAAGUGCGUCUAAAAUGGUUUCUUAGACUAUGGUGCAUUAGGUGCAAACUGUGCACCUAUCUUGCACCAAAACUAACAAUAUCUCCAAAUGGACCGAAGCAAGAUUCCAUAUGACACACGUCAUCAAGCAGGUCCAUCGGUUGCAUCCAAAUUGAUUUCCAAGCAUAUGGUAUGUUCCAUGCAAAGCAUGCACCUACCUUGCAUAAGUAUUAGCACUAUCACCAAACUGACUGAACCAAGCUUCCACUUUGGCCUCUUCAUCCAAGAGUACCAAAUAGUGCGUCCAAAAUGGUUUCUUAGACUAUGGUGCAUUAGGCGCAAACUGUGCAAUUAUCUUGCACUGAAACUUACAAUGUCUACAAACAGACAAAAGCAAGAUUCCAUAUGACACACGUCAUCUAGGAGUUCCAUUGGGUGCGUCCAAAUUGAUUUUUAAGCAUAUGGUAUGUUCCUUGCAAAUCAUGCAAUUAUCUUGCAUCAAGAUCAGCACUAUCUCCAAACAGAUCAAACUGAGCUUCCACUUGAGCCUCUUCAACGAAGUACCAACAGGUGCUUCCAAAAUGGUUUCUUAGACUAUGGUGCCGUAGGCACAAACCAUGCACAUAUCUUGCACCGAAACUAACACUGUUUCUAAACAGACCAAAGCGAGAUUCCAUAUGACACACGUCAUCAAGGAGUUCCAUCGGGUGCAUCCACAUUGAUUUCCAAGCAUAUUGUAUGUUCCAUGCAAACCGUGCACCUAUCUUGCAUCAAGAUUAGCACUAUCUCCAAACAGACCGAACCGAGCUUCCACUUGAGCCUCUUCAUAUAGGAGUACAAACAGGUGCGUCAAAAAUAGUUUCUUAGACUAUGGUGCAUUACGCACAAACUAUGCACCUAUCUGCAUCGAAACUAACAUUGUUUCCAAACAGAGCGAAGCGAGAUUCCAUGUGACACACGUCAUCUAGGAGUUCCAUUGGGUGCGUCCAAAUUGAUUUCUUCACAUAUGGUACGUUCCAUUCAAACUGCGCCACUAUCUUGCAUCAAGAUUAGCAUUAUAUCCGAACAGACCAAAUCGAGCCUCCACUUGAGCCUCUUCAACUACGAGUACCAUCGAGUGCGUCUAAAAUGGUUUCUUAGCUUAUGGUGCAUUAGGCGUAAUCCAUGCACAUAUCUUCUACCAAAACUAACAGUCUCUAAACGAACCAAAGCAAGAUUCCAUAUGACACACAUCAUCAAGAAGUUAUAUCAGGUGCGUCCUAAUUGAUUUCUGAGCAUAUGGUAUGUUCCAUGCAAACCGUGCAUCUAUCUUGCAUCAAGAUUAGCACUAUCUCCAAACAGACCAAACCGAGCUUUCACUUUAGCCCCUUGACCUAGGAGUACCAUUGGUUGCGUCCAAAACGGUUUCUUAUCCUAUGGUGCAUUAGGUGCAAACCGUGCACCUAUCUUGCACUGAAACUAACACUGUCUCUAAACGGACCGAAGUGAGAUUCCAUACGACACAUGUCAUCUAGGAGUUCCAUCUGGUGCGUCCAAAUUGAUUUCUGAGCAUAUGGUAUGUUCCAUGCAAAUCGUGCACCUAUCUUGCAUCAUGAUUAGCACUAUCUCUAAACAGACCAAACCGAGCCUCCACUUGAGCCUUUUCACCUAGGAGUACCAACUGGUGCUUCCAAAAUGGUAUCUUAGACUUCGGUGCAUUAGGCGCAAACCGUGCACAUAUCUUGCACCGAAACUAAUACUAUCUCUAAGCACACCAAAGCGAGAUUCCAUAUGACACACGUCAUCAAAGAGUUCUAUCGGGUGUGUCCAAACUAAUUUCUAAGCAUAUGGUACGUUCCAUGCAGACCAUGCAUCAAGAUUACCACUAUCUCCAAAUAGAUCGAACCGAGCAUCCACUUGAGCCCCUUCACCUAAGAGUACCAACAAGUGCGUCCAAAAUGGUUUCUUAGACUAUGGUGCAUUAGGUGCAAACUGUGCACCUAUCUUGCACCAAAAGUAACAAUAUCUCCAAAUGAACUGAAGCAAGAUUGCAUAUGACACACGUCAUCAAGGAGGUCCAUCGGUUGCAUCCAAAUUGAUUUCCAAGCAUAUGGUAUGUUCCAUGCAAAGCAUGCACCUACCUUGCAUAAGUAUUAGCACUAUCUCCAAACUGACCGAACCAAGCUUCCACUUUGGCCUCUUCAUCCAAGAGUACCAAAUAGUGCGUCCAAAAUGGUUUCUUAGACUAUGGUGCAUUAGGCGCAAACUGUGCAAUUAUCUUGCACUAAAACUUACAAUGUCUACAAACGGACAAAAGCAAGAUUCCAUAUGACACACGUCAUCUAGGAGUUCCAUUGGGUGCAUCCAAAUUGAUUUUUAAGCAUAUGGUAUGUUCCUUGCAAAUCAUGCCCCAAUCUUGCAUCAAGAUUAGCACUAUCUCCAAACAGAUCAAACCGAGCUUCCACUUGAGCCUCUUCACCGAACUACCAACAGGUGCUUCCAAAAUGGUUUCUUAGACUAUGGUGCAGUAGGCACAAACCAUGCACAUAUCUUGCACCGAAACUAACACUGUUUCUAAACAGACCAAAGCAAGAUUCCAUAUGACACACGUCAUGAAGGAGUUCCAUCGGGUGCAUCCACAUUGAUUUCCAAGCAUAUUGUAUGUUCCAUGCAAACCGAGCACCUAUCUUGCAUCAAGAUUAGCACUAUCUCCAAACACACCGAACCGAGCUUCCACUUGAGCCUCUUCAUCUAGGAGUACAAACAGGUGCGUCAAAAAUGGUUUCUUAGACUAUGGUGCAUUAGGCACAAACUAUGCACCUAUCUGCAUCGAAACUAACAUUGUCUCCAAACAGAGCGAAGCGAGAUUCCAUGUGACACACGUCAUCUAGGAGUUCCAUUGAGUGCGUCCAAAUUGAUUUCUUAACAUAUUGUACGUUCCAUUCAAACUGCGCAACUAUCUUGCAUCAAGAUUAGCACUAUAUCCGAACAGACCAAAUCGAGCCUCCACUUGAGCCUCUUCAACUACGAGUACCAUCGAGUGCGUGUAAAAUGGUUUCUUAGCUAAUGGUGCAUUAGGCGUAAACCAUGCACAUAUCUUCUACCAAAACUAACAGUCUCUAAAUGAACCGAAGCAAGAUUCCAUAUGACACACAUCAUCAAGGAGUUAUAUCAGGUGCGUCCUAAUUGAUUUCUGAGCAUAUGGUAUGUUCCAUGCAAACCGUGCAUCUAUCUUGCAUCAAGAUUAGCACUAUCUCCAAGAAAUAAUGACACAAACAUAACUUUUCAAUGGCCGAAUACCUGGUCUCAGCAUCAACCAACCUCCUGCUUAAAUAGUAAAUCACACGUUCCUUCCCUUCAAACUCUUGAAUUAAAGCCGAACCGAUGACCACCCUAUCAGUAGACAAAUACAAUCUGAAGGGCUUCCCUUGCUGAGGUGGAAUCAGAACUAGAGGAUUUACCAAAUAGUUCUUGAUUUCAUUCAAGGUCAAUUGUUGCUCUUUCCCCCAGAUGAACUCUUGAUCGGCCUUCAACUUAAGCAAAGGACUGAAAGUACGAAUUUUACCAGAUAAAUUAGAUACAAACCUCCUGAUAAAAUUUACCUUGCCGAUCAAGGAUUGGAGCUCAGUCUUGUUGGUAGGGGCAACUAUUUUGUUGAUAGCAUCAAUGGAUCUCCGACUAAUUUCAAUCCCCCUUUGAUGCACCAUGAAGCCAAGAAAUUGUCCUGCCGAUACACCAAAUGCACACUUAUUGGGAUUCAUCUUCAAACCAUGCUUCCUUGUGCAUUCCAACACCUUUCGCAAAUCGGCAAGAUGCUUUGUGAAGUCUCCAGACUUAACCACCACAUCAUCAAUAUAAAUUUCCACCAGCUUGCCGAUGAACUCAUGAAAUAUAAAAUUCAUAGCCCUUUGAUAAGUAGCACCAUCAUUUUUCAAGCCAAAGGUCAUGACUAUCCAUUCAAACAACCCAACAUGACCAGGACAUCUAAAUGCAGUCUUUGGAAUAUCUUCUUCAGCCAUGAAUAUUUGAUUGUAUCUUGCAUUACCAUCCAUAAAGCUGAUGAUCCGAUGCCUAGCCGCAGCAUCAACUAGUAGAUCGGCAACUGGCAUCGGGUAGCCAUCCAUCGGUGUAGCUUUAUUGAGAUUCCUGAAAUCAAUGCAGACCCGAAGCUUCCCAUUUUUCUUGUAGACUGGAACCACAUUGGAAAUCCACUCGGCAUACCGACACUGCCGAAUAAAUUUAGCUUCAAUAAGUUUAGUGAUUUCGGCCUUGAUAUCAGGAAGAAUAUUAGGAUUACAUCGGCGAGCUGGCUGUUGAUGUGGCCGAAAUCCAGACUUAAUGGGUAACCGAUGUUCAACAAUUGAUCGGUCCAAACCAAGCAUCUCAGUAUAAUCCCAAGCAAAGCAAUCUUUAUAUUCCUUUAACAAAUCAGUUAACUGUUGCUUACACUCAGAAUUUAACUUAGCACUAAUAAAGGUAGGUCUAGGUUUAUCACCACUACGCAUAUCAACUUCUACUAAAUCAUCGGCCGAUGUGAAUCCCUGGCCUAAUUUUCCAUCAUCGACGAACCUAUCCAUUAAAAACCUUCAUCAGAACCGACUGCUUGGAUCGGUGGAAUUUCAUAAUCGGCAACUUUGAGAAAAUCCUUUUCCCAAACUUCUCCUGAAAUACACCUAGUUCUUUCGUAGGUGUCUGCCUCUGCCGAUGCAAUAACAUAGGAAGAAUCUCCCGGGACAAUUUCGAUCUUGUCACCUACCCACUGGACCAAGCAUUGAUGCAUUGUUGAUGGUAUGCAACAAUUGGCUUGAAUCCAAUCUCUUCCCAACAGCAAGUUAUAAGCAUCUUUUCCACUGAUCACAAAGAAAGUUGUCGGCAAGGUCUUGCUACCGAUAGUCAACUCAACACAGAUGGCUCCCUUAACCGGAGAUACAUUCCCUUCGAAGACUUUGAGCAUCAUAUCGGUCUUGGUCAAAUCCUGAUCUCCUUUUUCAAGCUUCCGAUACAUUGCAUAUGGCAUGAUGUUGAUGGCAGCCCCACCAUCAACCAAAAUCUUGGUCAUCGGCUGACCAUCCACCCUUCCUUUGACAAAUAGAGCCUUAAGAUGCUGCCUUUCAUCAUCGGCGGGCUUCUCAAAGAUGGUUGUCAUCGGAUCCAGAGCCAACUGAGCUAUUUGGUCGGAAAACUCCAACUCAUCAUCACUGGACGGUGCAAGGAAUUCCAUCGGCAACAUAAAUACCAUGUUGACAUCUGCCGAUGGACCUUUUCCCUUAGGAUCCGAUUGUUGCUGAUCCCUAGACUGGUCAGAGUUCUCACCCUUGUUCAACUCCUCUCGUCUUUCGCGUUGCAGCCUCCUUUUUUGUGUCCUGGUCAGCCCCUUUAGACACCAUGGAGGAAGUUGUUUCUACCUUAUCGAUGGGCGACGAUUUUCCCUUGACUCCAUUCGAUAAGUAUUGGCAUCCCUGCAAAAUAUGAACUCAUCGAGAACUCGUGCAUUAGCCAUCUCCUCAAGUUCUUCUUAGUUCCUGGGAAAGUACUCAACACGAUCACCAAGCCUGUCGUGCACACUGAGCCUGCCCCCUAGCCGAUCAUGAACGGACGCUCUCCCCCUAAUCGGCCCAUCAAACCGGCGGUUAUUGUUUUGAUACUGCCGAUUUGAUCUGUCAUACCGGUCAUAACCAUUACAUUCUGGGCAGUCUCUGACAGUAGGAAGCUUGAUAUUCUCUUCCCAACAAUGGAUGAAGAACGGACAGUUCCAGUGAUCUCUAUGCCGGUUCCACUCUUGUCGGCGUCUUUCUUCUUCCCAAUGAUAGUCUUCUUGCUGGCGCCGAUACCGAUCCUCACGCUGCUGCCAAGUCUCUCGAGGCCUUCUGUGAGUUAUGACAAUACAGAUCGGGGAGGCCUUCCUGAGCUAUUUUCUUCCUGGAUUAAGCCUUUUCCCUUGGCGUCGGUAGUAGUGAUAUGAUGCUGAGGAUCCACCGAUGCACUUCUCUCAGCUGCUUCUGAUGUCAAGACUUUGGCCUUUCCCUUAGCAUCCAGCAUGUUUGUUGGGAAAGGAUGCUGAUCUAUCUUCAUCGGCUUCUGAGUUUUAGAGCUGUCAAAUUUGAUCCUCCCAGAUUCUAUAGCCGAUUGCAGCUGUUGUCUGAAAACUUUGCACUCAUUGGUGCUGUGAGAAGUUGUAUUAUGCCAUUUGUAGUACUUCAUCUUUUUUAAUUCCUCAGCCGAUGGGAUUACAUGAUUGGGUGACAAUUUGAUCUGACCUUCCUGAAGUAGAAAGUUGAAUAUCCUAUCGGCUUUGGUGAUGUCAAACGCGAACUUCUCCGGCUCCUUGUGCCCAAAAGGGCAAGACAUCGGCUUCUUAUUUUUUACCCAUUCUGCCAAGCCGAUGACUGGUUCUUCAUCAGAGUUUGAGCUUGCUACCUCAUCGACAAAUGACACCUUUCUGUUCCAGGCCCUCUUAGGUUCAAAGGGCUUAAUAUCCUGGUCGGAAAUCCUUUGGACCAAGUGACUUAGAGUCUCGAACUCCUGAGAAGCAUAUUUGUCCCUGAUGUGUGGCAACAAGCCCUGGAAGGCUAAAUCGGCUAGCUGCCGAUCGUCUAGAACCAGACUAUAACAUUUGUUCUUGACCUCUCGUAUCCUCUGCACAAAACUUUCAAUUGAUUCAUCAUUGCGUUGCUUCAAUUUGACCAAAUCGGUGAUCUUCUUCUCAUGGACUCCAGAAAAGAAGUAUUUGUGGAAUUGCUUCUCUAGAUCGGCCCAAGUAAUCACUGAGUUAGGAGGUAAUGAUAUAAACCAGGUGAACGCCGAUCUAGACAAUGACGACGAGAACAACCGGACUCUUAACUCGUCUCUGUUAGCAGCUUCUCCACAAUGAAUGAUAAACCUGUUGACAUGUUCCAUGGUUGACGUAUCAUCCUGCCCAGAAAACUUAGUAAAAUCCGGCACUUUGUACCGAUUUGGGAGCGGGAUUAAAUCAUAAGCAGGAGGAUAGGUGUCUGAUAAGAGUAAGUGUUGACUUUGGGUUUUAUCCCAAAUUGGUCUCUCAUUACUUCGGCAAUCUUAUCGGCCCAAUAAGCAUCGGCAUCCUGCCGAUGAGGCAGUUGCGGCUCUGGGAUCUGCUGAUAUACUUCCGCGUGUCUAUGUGGUGCGCGAUCUGCAUAGAACAUUGGGUUAAUCAUCUGGGCACCCACCUGCUAACCGCCAAACUGUGGACCACCAAACUGCUGACCACCAAUCUGUUGUCCGCCAAUCUGCUGCCCAAGAUUCAUCGGCUGGUUGGGCAAUCCUUGAUUCUGGAACCCAAGGUAGAUCUGGCCUUGUUGAAACCCUGUAGCCUGAUGAUUCUGUUGAGACAUCUGUGGAAAGACUUGCUGCCCAGACCAUCCACUAUUAGCAUUCAUCGGCAUAGGCCCUGCCGAUGACUGGUAAUUGGGCAUCAUCAUUGAGUUGACAUACCCUUGCUGAGCCAUAAACCUCUGCUGCGUCGGCAUUGAAUCUGCCGAUGCAUUAGGCAUCUAGAACGUUGGAGCUUGAGAAUUCCCAGUGUAAGGUCUUGCAGUAGUGGUUGUAGUAUACUGGGGACUUUGAUUCAUCGGCAUGUUCGAAGGUGCCGAUGCCAUAAGAGCCUGCCUGAGAUGUGCCAGGUGUCUUCAAGUAUUCCCGGGGCAUACCAAAACCCCACCAAUUAGGAGGAACCGAUCCGGACAUUGCCGAUGCCAAUAGAUCUGUAGUAAGCUUGAUCGACUCAUCUGAUGUUGAUGGAUUGGACGGCAUCGGCGUGGAUUGCGCAUUAGACACUCCUAGCGUGCUCGGAGGAACAGUAGUUUCUGUGCCUGCAGCGGCCGUAGCGGCCGAUGGAGCCGUAACCACUGGCGAUUCUGGCUGAUGAUAGACAGGGCCCACAUAAUUUGGUGGCAAUUGUCCUUCUUUGAAAGUUCUAGCCACGACAUUGAAAACCGUGUUGGACAGCACACCAGCUUGGUUGAUUAAGGCACGGUUGAUAGCACUAUCGACCAUGUCUUGGAGUUUACCAGGAUUGGCUUCAAAAGUAACCUGCCGAGGGUCCAGCAGUGCUUCCUUCUGGAUCACCUCGCCACUCCUGUUUAUGCUGAAGGCCUUGAGACAUUGUUGCUUAUAAUCCUCCAUAGCCUUCGCAAUAGCUUGCUUUUGCUCAUCUUUGAGGCUAGCUUCUAUCACGGGGAUGACGUUCUCCAAGUCGAACUCAGUAGUCGAUAUGUUGAUCUUGACCUUUGAAUCUAGUCCCACCGGGCGUGCCAAAAGAUGUGUUGAUGCAAAAGCUGGAUCUGCAAACACAAAGGGCUAAUACCCGAUUCAAACGUUAAGGCGUGCCAGCCAAUUUGACCUUACUAUCGGCAAAGGUGAUAACUCGAAUACUUUGAUUCCGACAACAGCGAUGCGCCCAGAUGUCACGGCCAAGAGGUAUUCACGCGGAACUCGAGAAUACGCCAAGCUUAAGUCGGCGAACUCCUAAGAACUCGUAAUGAAAAGGAAAAAUAUGACGAAGUCGUCGAAAAAGUAGAUGCUGGAAUAUGAGUAUGAGUAAAAACUGGUGUUUUAUUGAUUAAUUGAUUCUCAUUACAAAGCCCUAGGGUCUACAUUUAUACCCUGCUCAAAGAGCUACAAUCAGACACGACUAGGACUCGAAUUCCAAAUUAGACAGAAUUUGUAUACAAAACGAUUUAAAUAACUAAGGAAAACAUAAAACUAUCCUUCCAUGACAAACUAGGACACCACCAUAGGUCAAUCGGCAACCUUCAUGUCCUCCAUCCGAGUCAUCGACAGACCUCUCAUCAUAGUCAUUGGUAAAGACUUAACGCUGACCAUCGGCACGGACGCGCCACCUCUUCUGGACUUAGCCAUAUUCAGCUAUCUCCUCAUCGGCAACCAUCCUCGUCGGCAACUCCUUUGCAGACCAGUUACCACUGCCACAUCUUGCCGAUCUACACUCUACCGAUCCUGGGUACGUGUCCAAAAACGGUGUCAACAGCACCAAAACUAACACUAUUUCUAAACAGACCAAAGUGAGAUUCCAUAUGACACACAUCAUCAAGGAGUUCCAUCGGGUCCAUCCAAAUUGAUUUCCAAGCAUAUGGUAUGUUCCAUGCAAACCGUGCACCUAUCUUACAUCAAGAUUAGCACUAUCUCCAAACAGACCGAACCGAGCUUCCACUUGAGCCUCUUCAUCUAGGAGUACAAACAGGUGCGUCAAAAAUGGUUUCUUAGACUAUGGUGCAUUAGGCACAAACUAUGCACCUAUCUUGCACUGAAACUAACAUUGUCACCAAACAGACCGAAGCGAGAUUCCAUAUGACACACGUCAUCUAGGAGUUCCAUUGGGUGCGUCCAAAUUGAUUUCUUAACAUAUGGUACGUUCUAUGCAAACUGUGCAACUAUCUUGCAUCAAGAUUAGCACUAUAUCCAAACAGACCAAAUCGAGCCUCCACUUGAGCCUCUUCAACUGUGAGUACCAUCGGGUGUGUCUAAAAUGGUUUCUUAGCCUAUGGUGCAUUAGGCGUAAACCGUGCACAUAUCUUCUACCAAAACUAACACUGUCUCUAAACGAACCGAAGCAAGAUUCCAUAUGACACACAUCAUCAAGGAGUUAUAUCAGGUGCGUCCUAAUUGAUUUCUGAGCAUAUCAUAUGUUCCAUGCAAACCGUGCAUCUAUCUUGCAUUAAGAUUUGCACUAUCUGCAAUCAGACUAAACCGAGCUUUCACUUGAGCCCCUUGACCUAGGAGUACCAUCGGGUGCGACCAAAAUGGUUUCUUAUCCUAUGGUGCAUUAGGUGCAAACCGGUUACCUAUCUUGCACCGAAACUAACAUUGUCUCUAAACGGACCGAAAUGAGAUUCCAUAUGACAUGUCAUCUAGAAGUUCCAUCUGGUGCGACCAAAUUGAUUUCUGAGCAUAUGGUAUUGAUGCGAACCUGCUAGGGUUUUUGCUCGAUCUUUUGAUGAGAGACGGGGAUAACUCGAUUGGUGGAUGGAGAUGACGUUCACGGCCUGACUACAGCCCUCAAGACCGCGCCUUAGCAACCGAUACACCACGUCCAAUAGCCGUCAUGAUCUUGUGGAGCGCGACAACCAGCCCCUAGGGCUCCCGUCCUGCAAGCAAUCGAAGAACUAGCAAGAACGAGGAAACAAGCACUGAAUUUGCAACAUGAAUUGAAGGUUUCAAACUGAAUCUGAAUCAACAAUGGGGUUCCGAAGACAAGGAGACGGGCGGCUGAUCCUACACGCGCGCCUACAAGCAAGUAGCGAAGGCUAAACUUGAUCUAAACAAAACCCAACGACCAUGGUGACUCUAGAGGGAUAUAAGUAGAUUGAUUGACGACCAAAGAGGUGUUGGGGUCAUCCUCCAACCCUAGGACGCGUCCCUAAUGGACCCAACUUGAUACAUGGGCCAUCAGCCCAAAAUGAGGUGACGCAGCACCCUGGACAGCAAGACCUAUCGACGGUAAUUGGAUCAUUGCCGCUGCUGCCAAACAGGUAUUGACGUGGGACUUGAUUCAUAUGGAAGUAGACUUCAUAAGCUUUAAAACAAGUCCUGAAGCGCCUGAAUAUGAAUCCAUAUGCAACCGUGGUAACGAUCACAAGUUGGCGCUUUGCUGCUGUCCGAAUCCAGCGAGCGUGAGUCCUUCUCCCUUCCGGUCUUCUCCUUGGUUCCUAAUCAAAACAAGAGUGCACGCAUUUCCAUUGUCUAAACAAGAUGGACACGAGCUUAUGAAGGAACUCACUUGAUUAUUAAGUUGACGAACAUGAGCACGAGUAAGAGGACCAGCUAUAGUUUGUGUCGGAGAGGAUGUAUCGCGGGUGUUGAUGUCCUCAUCAUCCUCCCUUUCUUGCAUUUGAGUCGUCCUCGACUCAAGCUCAUCUUCCUCACCCAAAUGUGGGACUAACCCCAAAAUCUGCAGGAAGAUCAAGCUUAUAUGCAUUCUCAUUAAUUCGUUGCAGCACUUUAAAAGGACCAUCAGCUCUAGGCAUCAAUUUGGAUUUUCUCAGUUCUGGAAAUCUAUCUUUUCGCAAAUGCAACCAAACCAAAUCCCCAGGUUCCAGAAUCAAUUGUUUUCUACCUUUAUCUCUAGCGCAUUUGUACUUAGCAUUCAUGCGCUCUAUGUUUUGUUUAGUGGCUUCAUGCAAUUUUAACAUCAAUUCAGCACGUUGCUUAGCCUCAAAAUUUAUUUUUUCAGAACUUGGCAAAGGCAUUAAAUCAAUAGGAGCACGUGGCAAGAAGCCAUAGACAAUCUCAAAAGGACACAUUUUUGUAGUAGAAUGCAAUGAACGAUUAUAGGCGAACUCAAUAUGAGGCAAACAUUCUUCCCACAUCUUAAUAUUCUUCUUUAAAACAGCCCUUAACAUAGUGGAUAAAGUUCUAUUAACAACUUCAGUUUGACCAUCAGUUUGGGGAUGACAAGUGGUGGAAAAUAAAAGCUUAGUCCCCAAUUUGAACCACAAAGUCUUCCAAAAAUGACUAAGAAAUUUAGCAUCACGAUCAGAAACAAUUGUGUUGGGCACACCAUGUAAGCGAACAAUUUCUCGAAAGAACAAAUCAGCAAUAUUUGUAGCAUCAUCAGUUUUAUGACAUGGUAUAAAAUGUGCCAUCUUAGAAAAUCUAUCAACAACCACAAACACACUAUCACGUCCCCUCCUAGUCCUCGGUAGUCCCAACACAAAAUCCAUAGAUAUAUCCUCCCAAAGAGCAUUAGGAACAGGAAGAGGUAAAUACAAACCAUGGGGAUUUAACUGUGACUUUGCCUUUUGACAUGUUGUGCAAUGAGCAACAAACCUCUCCACAUCUCUCCUCAUCCUUGGCCAAAAGAAAUGACUAGCAAGUAUGUCCUCCGUCUUCUUUGCUCCAAAAUGUCCCAUCAAACCUCCUCCAUGAGCUUCCUGUAACAACAACAAACGAACAGAGCUAGCUGGAAUGCAUAGCUUGUUAGCUCUAAACACAAACCCAUCACUGACGAUGAAUUUAUCCCACCCUUUUCUAUCUUUACAAUGCAGCAACACGUCUCUAAAAUCAGCAUCAUGAACAUAUUGGUCUUUAAUUGUUUCUAACCCAAAUAUCUUGUAAUCAAGUUGAUUCAGCAAAGUAUAUCUCCGUGAUAAAGCAUCAGCAAUAAUAUUUUCCUUCCCUUUCUUGUGCUUAAUAAUAUAAGGAAAAGAUUCAAUAAAUUCAACCCAUUUUGCAUGCCUACGAUUCAGUUUUCCUUGACUACGAAUAUGUUUCAAAGAUUCAUGAUCAGAAUGGAUAAUAAACUCUUUGGGCCACAAAUAAUGCUGCCAUGUCUCUAAUGUUCUAACAAGAACAUAGAGUUCUUUAUCAUAAGUUGAAUAAUUGAGAACAGGCCCACUCAAUUUCUCACUAAAAUAUGCAAUAGGUUUUCCCUCUUGUAAUAAAACACCUCCCAAACCAACCACUAACAUCACAUUCAAGCUCAAAAGUCUUAUUAAAAUCAGGAAGUUGUAGGAGUGGUGCAUGAGUUAACUUAUCUUUCAACAUAUUGAAUGAAUUCUCUUGUGCUUUGCCCCAAUCAAAAGGCACCCCCUUCUUUGUAAGCUCAUUCAAUGGUGCAGCAAUGGUGCUGAAAUCCUUCACAAAACGGCGAUAGAAUCCAGCAAGUCCUAGGAAACUCCGCACCUAGGUGAUAGUAUUUGGGACAGGUCAUCCCUGUAUAGCUUCCACCUUGGCUUGAUCAACCUCAAUUCCCUGUGGAGUCACAACAUAACCAAGAAAAGACACUCGAUCGGUGCAAAAGGUGCACUUCCCAAGGUUACCAAAUAAACGUGCCUCGCGUAGUGCAUUAAAAACAGCACGUAAAUGAUCAAGAUGUUCAUCCAAUGAUUUGCUGUAAAUCAAUAUGUCAUCAAAAUAUACGACAACAAAUUUCCCAAUGAAAGCACGCAAAACCUCGUUCAUUAAUCUCAUGAAAGUACUAGGUGCAUUAGUUAACCCAAAAGGCAUGACUAACGACUCAUACAAACCGAACUUAGUUUUGAAAGCAGUUUUCCAUUCAUCUCCCAAUUUCAUACGAAUCUGGUGGUACCCACUACGUAAAUAAACUUUUGAAAACACAACAGCACCACUCAGCUCAUCUAGCAUAUCAUCUAAUCGUGGAAUAGGGUGUCGAUAUCGAAUGGUGAUAUUAUUAAUAGCUCUACAAUCAACACACAUACGCCAUGUUCCAUCUUUCUUAGGCACUAAAAUUACUGGAACAGCACAAGGACUAAGAGAUUCUCGGACAUAACCUUUGUCUAGUAGUUCUUGCACUUGUCGCUGAAUUUCCUUUGUUUCCUCCGGGUUUGUCCUGUAUGGUGCACGAUUUGGCAAAACUGCUCCAGGAAUAAGAUCAAUUUGGUGCUCAAUCCCGCGUAGUGGAGGCAGCCCUACUGGUACCUCACUUGGAAACACAUCAGAAUACUCCUGCAAAACGUUAGCAACAGCAAGGGGCAAAGAACAUUGCAUAUCCUCAAUUGAAAUCAAAGCAUCCUUACAUAUCAAAGCAUAAGCAACAGAAGUGGAUGCAUUGAACUCAUUAAUAUCUGAUUUGGUAGCUAUCAUACAACGUCCUUUCAGUUUUAUCUCAUCUUUGUUACCAAUUACAGAUUUAUCAUUUUUAUUGCUCUCACUCUUUGCUUUAGUAGCCCUAGCAACAUCAGUUUGCAUAAUAGUUUCAGGGGACAUAGGAUGCAACACAAUUUUGCGAUCAUGGUAUAGAAAAGAAUACUGAUUUGAUCUACCAUGAUGCAUAGAAUCUCUAUCAAAUUGCCAAGGUCUACCUAGCAGAAUGUUACAAGCUUGCAUAGGCACAACAUCACAUUCAACAAUAUCUUUGUAGGAUCCGAUGGAAAAAUUAAUUCUCACAAGUCUAGUUACCUUUGCCUUACCACUGUUGUUCAGCCAUUGGAUGUAGUAGGGAUGCGGGUGUGGUUUGGUGUUGAGGGCAAGCUUCUGCACCAUAUCGCUGCAUGCCAAGUUGUUGCAGCUACCUCCAUCAAUGAUCAUGCGACAAGAACGCUCUUUGAUGACACACUUUGUUUGGAAUAAAAUGUGUCGCUGAUUUUGCUCCGCCAUCUCCAUUUGUGCACUAAGCACUCGCUGCACGAUCAAGCUCUCAUAGUGGUCCGCUUCACCUGCAUUAAUAUGUUCUUCUAUUUGAUCUUCAUUACCUGCAUGGUCAGUCGCAAGAAGUGCAAGUGUAUCCUCAUCAAAAUCACUAGCAGAUGAGUACUCACCAUCAUCCCUGACAAUCAUAGCUCGCUUGUUUGGACAGUCACGCAUCAUGUGCCCAUAUCCCUUGCACCGGUGACAUUGUAUGUUGCUUGUUCUACCCGUCGAUGCCACGGAUGAAGUACUCGCAGCAGGCUUUUGCAUCGUCUUCGCAACUGAAUUGGUGGGGGCAGCUCGAGUCUUGUCACUAGAUGAUGGAGUAGAAAUACGUGUAGAUGGAGUUGAAGCCACACGUUGCUGCCAUGAAUUAGCCUUCCCUGCAAAAAUAUUACUCCUUGCGCUAGCACGUCGUCCCUGCACUUCCCUUUCAGCUUUACAAGCAAGAUGAAACAAACGGGUUACAUUAUUGUAUUCUUUGUAAGCGAGGAUGUCCUGAAUUUCCCGAUUUAACCCACCCAAAAAUCUAGCCAUAGUCGGUUCCUCAUCCUCCUCUAGGUUACAACGCAACAUACCCGUUUGUAAUUCCUGAUAAUAUUCUUCUACACUUUUAGCACCUUGUCUUAACUGCUGCAACUUAUUUAUCAUAUCACGCGCAUAGUAAGAUGGAACAAAUCUAGCUCUCAUGGCCCUUUUCAGCGCAUCCCAAGUUCUAGGUAAGUUAUUAGGAUUUUUCUUUCCAUAUUCUAUCCACCAAACAGAAGCAAAAUCUGUAAACUCACUAGUAGCAGCCCUAACACGUGUAGUCUCAGGAAAUUCAUGACAUGCAAACUUUUGAUCAACAGCAAUCUCCCAAGUGAUGUAAGCAUCAGGGUCAUAUUUACCAUCAAAAGGGGGUAUCUUAACUUUAAUCUUACUGAAAGCAUCAUCAUUAUUGUGUACCUCGCGUCGGUGGUUGCCACCCAUACCUCUACGGUUGUGACGAAGGCGACGUCGAUCACGAGUGUCUUGAUCAUCAUGUUCAGUAUCACCAGUGUAGUCAUCUUCAUGACUACCGUGCUCUCGAUCUCCCUCCUUUUCUUCUUUAUGCUUCUUUUUAUCUUUGGUGUGGAAAUCAUCAAAUCGCCUUAGGAGAGCAGCAAGGCUUUUGUCCACACUAGCAAUGGAUUCCUCCAAACUUGUGAGCUUGUUGUUUGUGGCAAUCUGCGUAGCCUCCAACUGCCCCAGCUUUUUCAUUUGUCACCUGCAAGUCGUUAUCAAGUCCCUCUAUGUGCAGCUUCACUUUCCUUUCAAAAUGUUGUAUGAUGCCCUUAGUGCGAGGUGUAAGUGGUGUUUCGUUACCAUCAUCUGCCCCUGGCAUGGUUCAAAGACAAAGACAACAAAAAGGCAAGUGAAAAAAUAAAAGCCCUACAACUACUAGGAUGUAGCUACAGCAAGUCGCUCACACUCAACCUGUAACACAAGUUCUUACCAAUUCUUACCUUGCUUGACAGGAGGGGUCGUCUGCCAACAAGUGUACAGCAAUGGACGAAGUGUAUCGGUGCUGCAGCACAAGACCUGUCAAGCUGUAGAGUAUGUGGAGCUAUAGGUGGGCUGAAACAAGGAACGAACUAGCACCACGUUAGUUAUAAAAAGCGAGCUGAAUAAGCGUUCGACGAUGGUACUGUGCUGGUCCUAGGCUAGACCGUGCUAGAGACGCGAGCCUGGACACAAAGGAAAACCACAGCACACCCCUGAAAACAAGAUGGAAGAAACCUAAAAUCAAUAUAAAAAACAGCCCCUUUUUUUUGAAUCUUUUCUCUUUUUUUUCUUUUUUUUUUCUUUUUUUUUGGGCAACCUCAAAAACUGAUUAUAUGAACAAAAGAAUACAAAAGAGCAAUUCUCUCUCUCUCUCUCUCUAGAGUAGGGCCGAACAAGUAUGGAGUUAUCCUUCUUUUUUUUAUCACGUUGGUGGAACUCAGAUUGGAACUCUACUCGAUCCGGACCAAGACCACAGUUCAAUUCGGACUUCGCAACAGAUUCGACAGAGAGAAGAUAUGGUAAUACUCGGCUGUGUAUAGAUGGUGACAAGAACUCGAAACUCUAAAGGACUAGACACUAAGACUAGCAACUCGACACAAACCGAAGCAACGCAAAUUCAACAAGCCCUAACCAAAACGGUACUAGCCAAGGCACAAAGGUUUAAUAGGAUUAUGGAAAAACUAAUCUACUAUAUUUUUUUUGGCUUUUCUGGAUUAUAGGAAAUUAAUUAAAAACAGCAAAGGAUUAGAAGUCUCUCACCGAAGAACCUUGCUCUGAUUACCAACUGAUGCGAACCCGCUAGGGUUUUUGCUUGAUCUUUUGAUGAGAGACGGGGAUAACUCGAUUGGUGGAUGGAGAUGACGUUCACGGCCCGACUACAGCCCUCAAGACCGCGCCUUAGCAACCGAUACACCACGUCCAACAGCCGUCACGAUCUUGUGGAGCGCGACAACCAGCCCCUAGGGCUCCCGUCCUGCAAGCAAUCGAUGAACUAGCAAGAACGAGGAAACAAGCACUGAAUUUGCAAGAUGAAUUGAAGGUUUCAAACUGAAUCUGAAUCAACAAUGGGGUUCUGAAGACAAGGAGACGGGCGACUGAUCCUGCACGCGCGCCUACAAGCAAGUAGCGAAGGCUAAACUUGAUCUAAAUAAAACCCAACGACCAUGGCCGCUCUAGAGGGAUAUAAGUAGAUGGAUUGAUGACCAAAGAGGUGUUGGGGUCGUCCUCCAACCCUAGGACGCGUUCCUAAUGGACCCAACUUGAUACAUGGGCCAUCAGCCCAAAAUGAGGUGACGCAGCACCCUGGACAGCAAGACCUAUCGACGGUAAUUGGAUCAUUGCCGCUACUGCCGAACAGGUAUUGACGUGGGACUUGAUUCAUAUGAAAGUAGACUUGAUAAGCUUUUCAACAAGUUCUGAAGCGCCUGA